rnacentral:rRNA from 1 species
AGUGAACGCUGGCGGUAGGCCUAACACAUGCAAGUCGAACGGCAGCACAGUAAGAGCUUGCUCUUACGGGUGGCGAGUGGCGGACGGGUGAGGAAUACAUCGGAAUCUACUUUUUCGUGGGGGAUAACGUAGGGAAACUUACGCUAAUACCGCAUACGACCUACGGGUGAAAGCAGGGGAUCUUCGGACCUUGCGCGAUUGAAUGAGCCGAUGUCGGGUUAGCUAGUUGGCGGGGUAAAGGCCCACCAAGGCGACGAUCCGUAGCUGGUCUGAGAGGAUGAUCAGCCACACUGGAACUGAGACACGGUCCAGACUCCUACGGGAGGCAGCAGUGGGGAAUAUUGGACAAUGGGCGCAAGCCUGAUCCAGCCAUACCGCGUGGGUGAAGAAGGCCUUCGGGUUGUAAAGCCCUUUUGUUGGGAAAGAAAGGCAGCAGGUUAAUACCCCGCUGUUCUGACGGUACCCAAAGAAUAAGCACCGGCUAACUUCGUG